UGCCCUAGUAACGGCGAGUGAAGCGGCAACAGCUCAAAUUUGAAAUCUGGCGUCUUUGGCGUCCGAGUUGUAAUUUGCAGAGGGCGCUUUGGCAUUGGCAGCGGUCCAAGUUCCUUGGAACAGGACGUCACAGAGGGUGAGAAUCCCGUACGUGGUCGCUAGCCUUUACCGUGUAAAGCCCCUUCGACGAGUCGAGUUGUUUGGGAAUGCAGCUCUAAAUGGGAGGUAAAUUUCUUCUAAAGCUAAAUACUGGCCAGAGACCGAUAGCGCACAAGUAGAGUGAUCGAAAAGAUGAAAAGCACUUUGGAAAGAGAGUUAAAAAGCACGUGAAAUUGUUGAAAGGGAAGCGCUUGCAGCCAGACUUGCCUGUAGUUGCUCAUCCGGGUUUUUACCCGGUGCACUCUUCUAUAGGCAGGCCAGCAUCAGUUUGGGCGGUUGGAUAAAGGUCUCUGUCACGUACCUCCUCUCGGGGAGAACUUAUAGGGGAGACGUAAUGCAACCAGCCUGGACUGAGGUCCGCGCAUCUGCUAGGAUGCUGGCGUAAUGGCUGUAAGCGGCCCGUCUUGAAACACGGACCAAGGAGUCUAACAUCUAUGCGAGUGUUUGGGUGUCAAGCCCGAGCGCGUAAUGAAAGUGAACGGAGGUGGGAACCUUUCGGGGUGCACCAUCGACCGAUCCUGAUGUCUUCGGAUGGAUUUGAGUAAGAGCAUAGCUGUUGGGACCCGAAAGAUGGUGAACUAUGCUUGAAUAGGGUGAAGCCAGAGGAAACUCUGGUGGAGGCUCGCAGCGGUUCUGACGUGCAAAUCGAUCGUCAAAUUUGGGCAUAGGGGCGAAAGACUAAUCGAACUAUCUAGUAGCUGGUUCCUGCCGAAGUUUCCCUCAGGAUAGCAGUAACGUUUUCAGUUUUAUGAGGUAAAGCGAAUGAUUAGAGGCCUGGGGGUUGAAACAACCUUCACCUAUUCUCAAACUUUAAAUAUGUAAGAAGUCCUUGUUACUUAAUUGAACGUGGACAGUUGAAUGUAUCGUUACUAGUGGGCCAUUUUUGGUAAGCAGAACUGGCGAUGCGGGAUGAACCGAACGCGGGGUUAAGGUGCCAGAAUAUACGCUCAUCAGACACCACAAAAGGUGUUAGUUCAUCUAGACAGCAGGACGGUGGCCAUGGAAGUCGGAAUCCGCUAAGGAGUGUGUAACAACUCACCUGCCGAAUGAACUAGCCCUGAAAAUGGAUGGCGCUCAAGCGUAUUACCCAUACCCCGCCGCUGGGGCAAGAUUUAAGCCCCAGCGAGUAGGCAGGCGUGGAGGUCCGUGACGAAGCCUGG
rnacentral:rRNA from 1 species